rnacentral:rRNA from 1 species
UGCCUAAUACAUGCAAGUCGAGCGAGAAGACGUAGCAAUACGUUUGUAAAGCGGCGAACGGGUGAGGAAUACAUGGGUAACCUACCCUCGAGUGGGGAAUAACUAGCCGAAAGGUUAGCUAAUACCGCGUACGCUUCUUGGACUUCGGUUCAGGGAGGAAAGCGAUACCGUGGGUAUCGCGCUCUUGGAUGGGCUCAUGUCCUAUCAGCUUGUUGGUGAGGUAACGGCUCACCAAGGCUACGACGGGUAGCUGGUCUGAGAGGACGAUCAGCCACACUGGCACUGCGACACGGGCCAGACUCCUACGGGAGGCAGCAGUAAGGAAUAUUGCGCAAUGGGCGAAAGCCUGACGCAGCGACGCCGCGUGGGGGAUGAAGGUCUUCGGAUUGUAAACCCCUUUCGGGAGGGAAGAUGGAAUGGGGUAACCCAUUCGGACGGUACCUCCAGAAGCAGCCACGGCUAACUUCGUGCCAGCAGCCGCGGUAAUACGAAGGUGGCAAGCGUUAUUCGGAUUUACUGGGCGUACAGGGAGCGUAGGCGGUUCGGUAAGCCCUUUGUGAAAUCUUCAGGCUUAACCUGGAACAGUCGGAGGGGACUGCCGGGCUAGAGGACGGGAGAGGAGCGCGGAAUUCCCGGUGUAGCGGUGAAAUGCGUAGAGAUCGGGAGGAAGGCCGGUGGCGAAGGCGGCGCUCUGGAACGUUUCUGACGCUGAGGCUCGAAAGCGUGGGGAGCAAACAGGAUUAGAUACCCUGGUAGUCCACGCCUUAAACGAUGUCAACUGGUUGUUGGGGAAGGCAACUUCCUUAGUAACGAAGCUAACGCGUGAAGUUGACCGCCUGGGGAGUACGGCCGCAAGGUUAAAACUCAAAGGAAUUGACGGGGACCCGCACAAGCGGUGGAUGAUGUGGAUUAAUUCGAUGCAACGCGAAGAACCUUACCUACCCUUGACAUGCCAGGAAGCUGGGUGAGAGCUCAGUGUGCCCGAAAGGGAGCCUGGACACAGGUGCUGCAUGGCUGUCGUCAGCUCGUGUCGUGAGAUGUUGGGUUAAGUCCCGCAACGAGCGCAACCCUUGUCACUAGUUGCUACGGAAACGGGCACUCUAGUGAGACUGCCGGUGACAAACCGGAGGAAGGUGGGGAUGACGUCAAGUCCUCAUGGCCCUUAUGGGUAGGGCUUCACACGUCAUACAAUGGCGCAUACAGAGGGUAGCCAACCCGCGAGGGGGAGCCAAUCUCAGAAAGUGCGUCGUAGUCCGGAUUGCAGUCUGCAACUCGACUGCAUGAAGUCGGAGUCGCUAGUAAUCGCAGAUCAGCAACGCUGCGGUGAAUACGUUCCCGGGCCUUGCACACACCGCCCGUCAC